rnacentral:rRNA from 1 species
GACGAACGCUGGCGGCGUGCCUAAUACAUGCAAGUUGAGCGCUGAAGGUUGGUACUUGUACCGACUGGAUGAGCAGCGAACGGGUGAGUAACGCGUGGGGAAUCUGCCUUUGAGCGGGGGACAACAUUUGGAAACGAAUGCUAUUCCGCCUUAAAACUUUUAAAAACAGUUUUUAGUUUGAAAAAAGCCAUUUGAUCACCCCAAGAUGGUCCCGCGUUGUAUUAGCUAGUUGGUGAGGUAAAGGCCCACCAAGGCGAUGAUACAUAGCCGACCUGAGAGGGUGAUCGGCCACAUUGGGACUGAGACACGGCCCAAACUCCUACGGGAGGCAGCAGUAGGGAAUCUUCGGCAAUGGACGAAAGUCUGACCGAGCAACGCCGCGUGAGUGAAGAAGGUUGUCGGAUCGUAAAACUCGGUUGGUAGAGAAGAACGUUGGUGAGAGUGGAAAGCUCAUCAAGUGACGGUAACUACCCAGAAAGGGACGGCUAACUACGUG